rnacentral:lncRNA from 1 species
UACGGCAAACAGAAGCUCAGGAUGGUACCGAAGUUGACAAACGUGCAUGUAAGCCCGGACAAUCUACGAAAGAUGAAUGUGAGACUGGCUGCACAGCUUUUCAGCCGUAGCACCGCCAUUGGGUAAAGGUCUACCAGUGGUUAGAGGAGCCUGAUCUGAAAGACUGCCAUGGAACUGCUGCAUUCACCGUCAUGUUGGACAACCUGUUCAAUACCCUGAAUUUGAAGCUUCCCCGGCUUGCAAUACGAAGUUCAUCAAAGGAAAUUGAGGUCAUCCAAGAGUUCCUUGAUGCUGUAAAUGAAACCGAGUAAAACCGUAUUGCCAAAGGAAC